AAAAACAAAAACAAAAGACUCUCUUCACUCCACUCUCUCCCCACUCAGUAACCAUUCCCUGCUCCACUCACGCUCCACUUACUCUCUCCAUCCUCUCCUCACAAACGACAAAAAGAAAAUAUAUACAAAAAACCACUCACUACUCACUACAGUACUCACUCUCAUUUUGCUCAGAAAAAAUCUCAGCACAAAAACGCUCCCUUCCAUCUCUCACUCUCCUCACUCACUCUCUCAGAUAUCUCACAAAACCCUAUCCGCCGCUACCUCACCAUCCUCUCACUCUCGGAAAUUUCCUCUCCAUCUCUUCAACCAACCGUCAAAAUCACACAUUCUCCAUCGUCGCCUCCAGCUUCAUCGCUUCAAAUCACCACCUCCAUCGAUUCACUCAUCCACCAACACCACCAUUAAACAACCACCAAAACCCCAAAUCUCUCUUCAAAACCCUCGCCGCCGUUCCCAUCAUCUUCACACAAAUCCGCCGGCGAAUCCUUCCGUCUCCACUACCUUCAAAACCCUUAACUCCACACCGCCGUCACCUCCAUUAAAACCACCGUCGUCCUCCUUACGAGUACAUCUUCAAAACCUCAGCCACCACACCACUCACCAUCAAAACCCUCCGCCUAUCCACACUACCGUCAAGCAACCGCAACCUCCGCUCCACCUCCGUGUAAAUCGCUUACCUCGCCGCCACACAUCGCCGUAAAACCUCAAACCCAAAAUCGACCCUCUCACUCCAUCGUCGCCUCCAGCUUCAUCACCUUCAAUCGCCUUUCACCGUCCGUCAAAACUUUUCCACUGCCAUCACCAAGCCAUCGCCAGAAUCUGCCGCUGCCGAAAGCCUCAACGAAAACAGCAAACCACGGUGAAGCUUCUGAUAUUGUACGUUUCAGGAUCAUUGAGAUAUGGCAUAUAUUGUUAUUGUGGGAAUUAUGAAUUGAAAUCCUGCAACUCACUUCGUAUGCUAUUGUUAUGGAUACUGUGAAUAAAUAGUACAUGAUAAAUAUGUGGUUUCUGUUCAUACAUUAUUUUAGUUUUAUUAGCAUAUCAUGGCUUUAUAGAAACUUUAUGUUGUGUUCAAUAGUUUAAUAAGGGUUCCAUCCUGCUUUUAGUUGGUUUGUGAGUCUCCACACAUCUAGUAAAAUAAUUCUAUAUUGUUGUAAAUAAUGCAAAAUUGUUUUUCUGUGGUAAAAUCAGAGUUUCAUUCUCGGAUUCGACAAUUUCAUGUCGUUAUGCCGCCCGAAAAUUCCAAUAAAAUUAAUUGUACAUUUUCACCGA